rnacentral:rRNA from 1 species
GACGAACGCUGGCGGCGUGCCUAAUACAUGCAAGUUGAGCGAUGAAGAUUGGUGCUUGCACCAAUUUGAAGAGCAGCGAACGGGUGAGUAACGCGUGGGGAAUCUGCCUUUGAGCGGGGGACAACAUUUGGAAACGAAUGCUAAUACCGCAUAAUAACUUUAAACAUAAGUUUUAAGUUUGAAAGAUGCAAUUGCAUCACUCAAAGAUGAUCCCGCGUUGUAUUAGCUAGUUGGUGAGGUAAAGGCUCACCAAGGCGAUGAUACAUAGCCGACCUGAGAGGGUGAUCGGCCACAUUGGGACUGAGACACGGCCCAAACUCCUACGGGAGGCAGCAGUAGGGAAUCUUCGGCAAUGGACGAAAGUCUGACCGAGCAACGCCGCGUGAGGGAAGAAGGUUUUCGGAUCGUAAAACUCUGUUGGUAGAGAAGAGCGUUGGUGAGAGUGGAAAGCUCAUCAAGUGACGGUAACUACCCAGAAAGGGACGGCUAACUACGUG